CCAUUGAUACUAUCUAUCUUGAAUAUUGUGGAGGUAAGCGGAAUAUGUCAUGUAGCGGUGAAAUGCUUAGAUAUGACAUAGAACACCCAUUGCGAAGGCAGCUUACUACGCAUAUAUUGACGCUGAGGCACGAAAGCGUGGGGAUCAAACAGGAUUAGAUACCCUGGUAGUCCACGCCCUAAACUAUGGAUACUCGACAUAUGCGAUACACUGUAUGUGUCUGAGCGAAAGCAUUAAGUAUCCCACCUGGGAAGUACGUUCGCAAGAAUGAAACUCAAAGGAAUUGGCGGGGGUCCGCACAAGCGGUGGAGUAUGUGGUUUAAUUCGAUGAUACGCGAGGAACCUUACCUGGGCUAGAAUGCUGGGAGAUCGCUAGUGAAAGCUAGUUUUGUAGCAAUACACUGCCAGUAAGGUGCUGCAUGGCCGUCGUCAGCUCGUGCCGUGAGGUGUUGGGUUAAGUCCCCGCAACGAGCGCAACCCCUAUCUUUAGUUGCCAACAGGUAAUGCUGGGAACUCUAAAGAAACUGCCGCCGUAAGGUGUGAGGAAGGAGGGGAUGAUGUCAGGUCAUCAUGGCCUUUAUGCCCAGGGCUACACACGUACUACAAUGGUAGUGACAAUGAGAUGCAAAGUGGCGACGCUAAGCUAAACUCAAAAAUCU
rnacentral:rRNA from 1 species